GACGAACGCUGGCGGCGUGCUUAACACAUGCAAGUCGAACGGAAAGGCCUGCUUUCCCUUUUGGUUUGCGGGGACUCGAGUGGGUAACGGGUGAGUAACUCGCGAGUGAUCUGCCCCCAGCUUGGGUAUAAGCCUGGGAAACUGGAUCUAAUUCGCUAUAGAACUGGCGGGUGGUUCCGGGGGUGGGAAACGAUUUUCUCGUGGUUGGGGCUGAGCUCGUGGCCUAUUAGCUGGGUGGAGGGGUAAUGGCCUACCAAGGCGGUGACGGGUAGCCGGGGUGGGAGGGGGGACCCGGACAUUGAGACUGAGCUACGACCCAGACUCGUAGGGGAGGCAGCAGUUGGGAAGAUAGGACGAAGUGCGGGAGCCUGAUGCAGCGAGGCCGCGUGGAGGAUGACGGGCUUCGGGUAGUAAACUCGUUUCGAGCGUGAGGAAGCCGGCUGGUUGGAAGGGUGGUGACGGUAGUGGUAGAAGAAGCACCGGCUAACUACGUG
rnacentral:rRNA from 1 species